GGGGAUGUAGCUCAGUGGUAGAGCGCAUGCUUUGCAUGUAUGAGUUCCCGGGUUCAAACCCCGGCAUCUCCA
rnacentral:tRNA from 1 species